AAUAGAAGGAGUUUGGAGAUAAUACUUUCUAGGGAUUCUGCAGGAUCUGGGUGUGGCCCUCAUUAUGACCUCGCUGGUGAUGUUGGCUCUAACAAGUGCUGGUGUCACAAAGGGCUCUUGCGCGGCUCUCCUAUAAAAGCUGGGCAGCCGCCCCCAGCCCUCAGCCAGAACCACCAUGGCCCGCUACCGCCGGCGCUCCCGCAGGAGCCGCAGCCGGAGCCGCAGCCGCCGCCGUUCACGCCGCCGGGGCGCGCGGAGGAGGCGGCGGGCUGGAUCCCGCCGCUCCAGAUACCGCCGGCGCCGCCGGGGCGGCAGGAGGCGCAGACGCCGCUGAGCCGAGCUCAGGGCCUCGGCCUUACAGAGCCAGAGCAACCAGAGCGCGGCCCUGACGCGGGCCUGGCUCUGCCAAUAAAGCACAGCAAGCUCCCAUCAGAUGAGGGUGUCAAUGGUCCCUGGUGUCCCUUUGCGCCGGCAGCGACUCGCUCAGGGUGUGCUCGGGCCCGCGUCUCUGCUCGCCCGGGCUUUCCCUGGCUCGGGAGAGCCCCCUGGACCCCACUCGGGAGCGCUCCGCUGGGGAUCGGGCCUCUCACAACCAGGACCCUAUGCCGUGAGUGCAUCCCUUGGGACCCAGACCACUCCAAAGCUUUGUCUUCACCUGUGCCAAGAGUGACACGCGGGACACGUUUCUGCCAGUUCAGCAUGUGCAGAGCUGAACUUCCAGUGCCCUUCCUGUUCAAAGCCUUCCGGAGGCAAAAAAGGGGCUGGGGUGAGGGGGAAUGUCAGCAAGUGGCAGCUUAAGUAUUCAAGAAAAGAAAGGACCAGAAAAAAAGUAGCUUCGGCUAUGAUGGUUACAACUGGCAAUCGAAAGAUUCUUGAGAGAUGAGUUGUUGGAACCUUGCAUGUCUCCCUACAGUACUCCUAUUUUACCAAUCAGAAAGUCAGAUGAGACUUACAGAUUACUUCAAGAUUUCAGAGACUUGAAUAAGCUCAUCCAGGUAUGUCAUCUAGCUGUCCCAAAUCCUUAUACCCUAUUGAGUAAAAUCCCCCACAAUCAUGUGUGUUUAGUGUAGUGGACCUUAAAGAUGCCUUCUGGGCCUGUCCUUUAGCAGAGAACAGUAGGGAUAUAUUUGCUUUUGAGAAGAAAAUCCUAUCACAGGAAGGAAGCAGCAGUUAUGUUGGACUUCCUUACGCCAGGGGUUUACAGAGUCUCCAAAUUUGUUUGGACA
rnacentral:lncRNA from 1 species